rnacentral:lncRNA from 13 species
GUCCCCACCCAAAUCUCAUCUCGAAUUGUAAUCCUCACGUUCUGAGGAAGGGAGGUGAUUGGAUUAUGGGGUCGGUUCCCUGUGCUAUUCUCGUGAUAGUGAGUGAGUUCUCACCAGAUCUGAUGGUUUCAUAAGGGGCUUUCCCCUUUGCUUCCUUCACAGGCUCUUUUACCUGCUGCCAUGUAAGACAUGCCUGCUUUCCCUUCUGCCAUGAUUGUAAGUUUCCUGAUGCCUCCCCAGCCCUGUGGAACUCAUUUACUCCCAGGAGAUGAAGAGUGGAGAGCAGACUACACCAGAGGAAUAUGGUGGCUGGAUCUCAUCCUCACCUGGAGUUGGAGAAUCAGCUUGGAACAGCACAAUACAAUCCCAGCAGGACUACUGACAUCUCACAUGUAGAGUUGACCAACUCUAAAAAACAAGAAUCUUAAAAAUGGACUGUCAGAUGAGGGGGCUGUAGGACUGUGAGGUAAAAACAAGCCUUGUAUUGGGGAUGGGAUUUCCAGUGAGGAGAAACCAUGUUUUGUCUGCCAGUAGCUGUGGGAGAAAAUCCUGGGCCAGGAUAUGAGGUGGGUCUUAAAUGAAUGUUAGAGAGGUAGAAAUGAACACAUUCUCCUUUCCACCCUUUCUCUUUGCAGUGGUUAGGACAAGAGGGAUUCCCAGUCAGGUGGGCCGAUAGUUGAAUUAUGGAAAUAGACAUUGAUUCUAGUUGGGAUGUGUUAAGUGUGGAAAUAGGCAAAAAGUCAGGGAAAGAUUCUAGUUUGAGCAGCCACUUAUACUAAAUGAGUAACUGCUGCUAAGUAGCCACAAAUUGAGUAAUUUAGGGGAGAUCAGUGACUCCUCUGGAGGCCAGGAUGGGCCACAUCUUCAAAAUGGGCCACAUCUUUAAUGUAAGACAGCUGUCUCUGGAAGAGAGAAAAGUCACUUGGUGGUAGAGGUCACAGCCUGCUACCAAGAGAGGUGGAGAGAAAAGACAGUAAGGAUAAAAACAAACAUUUGUUGAACAUUCUUUGAAUACAUACCAUGUGCCAUUCAUUGCAUUAAACUGUAGCUUCAAGCACAAAUGCCUUUCAGUCUGGGAGAGGAUCACUCUGAGAGGCAGGGAAGCUGGAACUAAAUAUGGGAAUAGCAGCUUCACACCUCCUUUCUCACCGAGGCAAGCAACCAAUUAUUGAAAGUGGAAUUUCACACGCUGUUGAACUGUUAUUUCUUUCCUUGCUUUCUUUUUAUCUCUAUCUCUGGACAAGAGCGUACAGUUGAAUUCACAGAAAUUCAAUGUGGGUGUUGGGUACUCUAAUUGCAUAAUCUCAUUCAAUCUUUAUAACUUUCCUACAAGGCAGAUAGGUAACAGCUAUUAUCUUUCUGAUGUUAUAUCUAGAGAAACUGAGGGUGGGGAGGU